rnacentral:rRNA from 1 species
GGCGGCAGGCUUAACACAUGCAAGUCGAGCGGUAGCAGAUCUAGCUUGCUAGAUGCUGAUGAGCGGCGGACGGGUGAGUAACGCGUAGGAACCUGCCCAGUAGUGGGGGAUAGCCCGGGGAAACUCGGAUUAAUACCGCAUACGCUCUACGGAGGAAAGAGGGGGCUUCGGCUCUCGCUAUUGGAUGGGCCUGCGUGAGAUUAGCUAGUUGGUGAGGUAAUGGCUCACCAAGGCGACGAUCUCUAGCUGGUCUGAGAGGAUGAUCAGCCACACUGGGACUGAGACACGGCCCAGACUCCUACGGGAGGCAGCAGUGGGGAAUAUUGCACAAUGGGCGCAAGCCUGAUGCAGCCAUGCCGCGUGUGUGAAGAAGGCUUUCGGGUUGUAAAGCACUUUCAGUGGGGAGGAAGGCCUCGUAGUUAAUAGCUGCGAGGAUUGACGUUACCCACAGAAGAAGCACCGGCUAACUCCGUG